rnacentral:misc_RNA from 1 species
CUUUAUUGGAUUUUCACAAUAGUGAAACAGCAAGACCUAUUACAUUUCCCCAAACAUUUUACCUAUUAAGUGAAUAUUUUGUUUUCUUUUGAAAUCUAAAACCCAGUCGCAAACGAACAGUAUUACGAAUUGUAGGUAGGUACCUACUAUAUAUAUAUAAAAAUUGAAAUCUCAAUUGAUAUUAUAAAGAGAAAAGAUUUAUUUUCACCAUCCUUUUAUUAGCUUGGGUUGUAUGAAUGUAUGUAAUGGAAUCUUUGAGCAUAAUUUUCACCAAUUUCCAGAAGUUUGAUUAAUUUGAAACUUUGCACACGUAUCAAAGACCGAUGACAAUGCAAUAAUUCAAUAACAGUUUCCCAAUAUCCUUAUUAGGACCGCCAGAAUUAAUAAAUUCUUUCCUGGAUCUUCUGUAAGGUGUGGCGACAUCUAUCGCGCGACAUACGAACUACGUAACUAAGAACUGACGUGUCCUA